AUGCAGCCAAUUAAGCCGACUGUGCUCUUUCCCCAUGGGAGUCCAGUGUGCAAUGGCUGCAAACAGCAGCCUCCUUGGUAGUGUAUGCAGCCUGUUGAUUGUACAGGUUGCCCUAAGGGACCUUGGAGACAGCC